CCUACGGGUGGCAGCAGUGGGGAAUAUUGGACAAUGGGCGAAAGCCUGAUCCAGCCAUGCCGCGUGUGUGAAGAAGGCCUUCGGGUUGUAAAGCACUUUCAGUGGGGAAGAAAGCCUUGGGGCUAAUACCCUCGAGGAAGGACAUCACCCACAGAAGAAGCACCGGCUAACUCCGUGCCAGCAGCCGCGGUAAUACGGAGGGUGCGAGCGUUAAUCGGAAUUACUGGGCGUAAAGCGCGCGUAGGCGGUCUGAUAAGCCGGUUGUGAAAGCCCGGGGCUCAACCUGGGAACGGCAUCCGGAACUGUCAGGCUAGAGUGCAGGAGAGGAAGGUAGAAUUCCCGGUGUAGCGGUGAAAUGCGUAGAGAUCGGGAGGAAUACCAGUGGCGAAGGCGGCCUUCUGGACUGACACUGACGCUGAGGUGCGAAAGCGUGGGUAGCAAACAGGAUUAGAUACCCUAGUAGUC
rnacentral:rRNA from 1 species